ACUCAAAUGAAUUGACGGGGGCCCGCACAAGCGGUGGAGCAUGUGGUUUAAUUCGAUGCAACGCGAAGAACCUUACCAGGUCUUGACAUCCUACGAAUACUUAGGAAACUAGGUAGUGCCUUCGGGAGCGUAGAGACAGGUGGUGCAUGGUUGUCGUCAGCUCGUGUCGUGAGAUGUUGGGUUAAGUCCCGCAACGAGCGCAACCCUUGCUAUUAGUUGCUAACAUUAACGAUGAGCACUCUAAUGGGACUGCCCGUGACAAGCGGGAGGAAGGUGGGGAUGACGUCAAAUCAUCAUGCCCUUUAUGAUCUGGGCUACACACGUGCUACAAUGGAUGGUACAGAGAGCAGCAAAGCCGCGAGGUAGAGCGAAUCUCAUAAAGCCAUUCUCAGUUCGGAUUGCAGUCUGCAACUCGACUGCAUGAAGUCGGAAUCGCUAGUAAUCGCGAAUCAGCAUGUCGCGGUGAAUGCGUUCCCGGGCCUUGUACACACCGCCCGU
rnacentral:rRNA from 1 species